GACGAACGCUGGCGGCGUGCUUAACACAUGCAAGUCGAACGGUGAACUCCGCUUGCGGGGGGAUCAGUGGCGAACGGGUGAGUAACACGUGGGCAACCUGCCCUCAGCUCUGGGAUAGCUCCAAGAAAUUGGGGCUAAUACCGGAUAUGACCGCUGACCGCAUGGUCUGGUGGUGGAAAGAUUUAUCGGCUGGGGAUGGGCCCGCGGCCUAUCAGCUUGUUGGUGGGGUAGUGGCCUACCAAGGCGACGACGGGUAGCCGGCCUGAGAGGGUGACCGGCCACACUGGGACUGAGACACGGCCCAGACUCCUACGGGAGGCAGCAGUGGGGAAUAUUGCGCAAUGGGCGAAAGCCUGACGCAGCGACGCCGCGUGGGGGAUGACGGCCUUCGGGUUGUAAACCUCUUUCAGCAGGGACGAAGCGAAAGUGACGGUACCUGCAGAAGAAGCACCGGCCAACUACGUG
rnacentral:rRNA from 1 species